rnacentral:rRNA from 2 species
ACUUUGAUCCUGGCUCAGGAUGAACGCUAGCUACAGGCUUAACACAUGCAAGUCGAGGGGAAACGACAUCGAAAGCUUGCUUUUGAUGGGCGUCGACCGGCGCACGGGUGAGUAACGCGUAUCCAACCUGCCCAUCACUUGGGGAUAACCUUGCGAAAGUAAGACUAAUGCCCAAUGAUAUCCCACGAAGACAUCCGAAUGGGAUUAAAGAUUUAUCGGUGAUGGAUGGGGAUGCGUCUGAUUAGCUUGUUGGCGGGGUAACGGCCCACCAAGGCGACGAUCAGUAGGGGUUCUGAGAGGAAGGUCCCCCACAUUGGAACUGAGACACGGUCCAAACUCCUACGGGAGGCAGCAGUGAGGAAUAUUGGUCAAUGGGCGAGAGCCUGAACCAGCCAAGUAGCGUGCAGGAUGACGGCCCUAUGGGUUGUAAACUGCUUUUAUAAGGGAAUAAAGUGAGUCUCGUGAGACUUUUUGCAUGUACCUUAUGAAUAAGGACCGGCUAAUUCCGUGCCAGCAGCCGCGGUAAUACGGAAGGUCCGGGCGUUAUCCGGAUUUAUUGGGUUUAAAGGGAGCGUAGGCCGGAGAUUAAGCGUGUUGUGAAAUGUAGAGGCUCAACCUCUGCACUGCAGCGCGAACUGGUCUUCUUGAGUACGCACAACGUGGGCGGAAUUCGUGGUGUAGCGGUGAAAUGCUUAGAUAUCACGAAGAACUCCGAUUGCGAAGGCAGCUCACGGGAGCGCAACUGACGCUGAAGCUCGAAAGUGCGGGUAUCGAACAGGAUUAGAUACCCUGGUAGUCCGCACGGUAAACGAUGGAUGCCCGCUGUCGGCCUGAAUAGGUCAGCGGCCAAGCGAAAGCAUUAAGCAUCCCACCUGGGGAGUACGCCGGCAACGGUGCAACUCAAAUGAAUUGAC